rnacentral:rRNA from 1 species
CUAGUAAGUGCAAGUCAUCAGCUUGCGUUGAUUAUGUCCCUGCCGUUUGUACACACCGCCCCGUCGCUUGUAGUAACGAAUGGUCUGGUGAACCUUCUGGACCGAGGUCGCAAGGCUUUGGGAAGUUAAGUAAACCCUACCAUUUGGAACAACAAGAAGUCGUAACAAGGUAUCUGUAGGUGAACCUGCAGAUGGAUCAUU